GGGCCUCUUUGGUAAUCCCUUUGCUAUUAGAUAGAGAAGUACACGAGGACCAGCUAAUUGGUGGGAAGCUUAUGGCAAGUCAACAAAACUUCUCCAAAAGUUUGCUAUAAAGGUUUUAAGCCUUACUUGCAGUUCUUCUGGUUGUGAACGAAAUUGGAGCGUGUUUGAGCAUCUUCAUAACAAGAAAAGAAAUAGGCUCGCUCAAACAACGUUGAAUGAUUUAGUGUUCAUCAAAUAUAAUAGAGCAUUGAGGCAUCGAUAUAAUAUGCGUG